CCUACGGGUGGCAGCAGUGGGGAAUAUUGCACAAUGGGCGCAAGCCUGAUGCAGCAAUGCCGCGUGUGUGAAGAAGGCCUUCGGGUUGUAAAGCACUUUCAGCGGGGAGGAAGGCGGUGAGGUUAAUAACCUCAUCGAUUGACGUUACCCGCAGAAGAAGCACCGGCUAACUCCGUGCCAGCAGCCGCGGUAAUACGGAGGGUGCAAGCGUUAAUCGGAAUUACUGGGCGUAAAGCGCACGCAGGCGGUCUGUCAAGUCGGAUGUGAAAUCCCCGGGCUCAACCUGGGAACUGCAUUCGAAACUGGCAGGCUAGAGUCCUGUAGAGGGGGGUAGAAUUCCAGGUGUAGCGGUGAAAUGCGUAGAGAUCUGGAGGAAUACCGGUGGCGAAGGCGGCCCCCUGGACAAAGACUGACGCUCAGGUGCGAAAGCGUGGGGAGCAAACAGGAUUAGAUACCCGGGUAGUC
rnacentral:rRNA from 1 species